rnacentral:rRNA from 1 species
AUGAAUUGCAUUAGCUGAAACUGCCGGGGGCUUGGGAACCCCGAGGCAAUUCGUGAGCUUCGCGACAUAGUGAAGCAAGAAGUUCCUGCCCUGCUGUUUGUCAUGGAAACCAAAAUCAGGGCGAAAAGAGUGGAGAGCCUACAAACUCAGCUUGGUUUUGCAGGUUGCUUCGCAGUUGAUAGUGUUGGUUUAAGUGGAGGAAUUGGACUAUUUUGGUCCAGAGAUGUUGAUGUACAACUCAAGAACUAUAGUACUGGCCACAUUGAUGUUGUGGUGCAGAAAAAAGAUCAUGAUGCGGUCGCCUGGCGUUUUACUGGCUUCUAUGGGGAACCCAGGGUCGAAAACCGGCAUCACAGUUGGCGCUUUUUGCGGACGUUGCAUGCAAUGCCGCAUGGAGAAUGGCUAUGUAUGGGAGAUUUUAACGAGACUCUCUACGCUAAAGAACACUUCAGCAAAUUGGCUCGUCCAGAACGACAGAUGAGGGCAUUUAGAGAAGUCUUCGAUGAAGUGGCAUUUCAGGAUCUAGGAUGGAUAGGUUUGCCCUAUACUUGGGACAACAUGCAGUUCGGUUCAACAAAUGUAAAGGCUAGAAUCGAUCGUGCUUUCGCGAAUGAAGCUUUUAGGCAACGUUAUGAACAUAGUCGUGUGCGCCAUGUGAGUUCUGUAGAAUCAGACCAUUGCUUUGUCAUUGCUGAAAUAAAUGAACAUUUACAGUAA